UAGCAAAAUCAUUUGUUUUUUAAUUAAGAACGGGAAUGAAUGGUUUGACAAUAAUAAACUUUAAUUUUUUUUAAAGUCAAAAAAUUUUUAGUUUAAGUAAAAAUGCUUAAAUAAAUUAGAGGGACGAUAAGACCCUAAAAGCUUUUUUUAGGCAAUAAUUUAAAAGUAAUUUUAUUUAGAUAAAAUUAACUGGGGAAGUAGUUAUUUAUAUAUAAUAAUUUAUUUUACAGAAAAAAUGGUAUAUGAUCUUUUAAAUAAGAAUAAAUUGAGUUAGUUACUUUAGGGAUAACAGCAUAAUAGUUUUGAAGAGUUCUUAUUUAUAAAACUGAUUAUGACCUCGAUGUUGAAUUAAAAAUUCUUAACAAGGAAAAAGGUGUUAGAGAAGGUUUGUUCAACCUUUAAAUUUUUACAUGAUUU
rnacentral:rRNA from 1 species